ensembl:snoRNA LOC120103291 small nucleolar RNA SNORA48
UUCCUCUUGCAAUGGCCAAAGACACACCUCUUUGGUGGUGUUUUUAUAACAGUCAGAGGCAAAGCAAGUGGUGGCCCCUUGUUCAUCCCAGCUCUACGCCUGGCUUCGUGGCCAAAGCUGUUUUAUGCAUAGAACACAGAA